UACGUAGGGGGCAAGCGUUGUCCGGAUUUAUUGGGCGUAAAGAGCGUGUAGGCGGCUUGGUAGGUCCAUUGUGAAAACUCGAGGCUCAACCUCGAGACGCCGGUGGAAACCAUCAGGCUAGAGUCCGGAAGAGGAGAGUGGAAUUCCUGGUGUAGCGGUGAAAUUCGUAGAUAUUAGGAAGAACACCAGUGGCGAAGGCGGCUCACUGGCCCGGUACUGACGCUCAUGUGC
rnacentral:rRNA from 1 species